rnacentral:lncRNA from 1 species
GAUGGGACUUUUGGCUAACGUCGACAAUGAGGCCACUGAUGCAGGCACUAAAGUAGACAGUGCCAUUCCUCCUGCGCUGCAACCAUGAAGCAUAAAUUGAUACUUAGAACCACGAUAAUGAAGACAAUGUUUCUGGUCUUCAUAGAGAAUAGUAUAUUGAGAAGCCAAAGUUGCUUGUCUUGCACAAAAACUGACAGUAGUAUAUUACAUAUAGUUGAGUUUCAGUUACAUUGCAUAUCAUUAGUAUUCAAGAUAUUCCAUAGAAAAAAGGAAUGGAGAUGUUCCACAAGUACACGCAUAUCAGAUUGAAACAUGUCCAAGCGAAGGCAUAUAAAUCAACUUGGAAAAGAUAAGCCUAAUUAGAGAGUGGAAUAUUAGAUAUCCAGAC